rnacentral:tRNA from 1 species
CGGAGUGUAGCGCAGGCUGGUAGCGCAUCUGGUUUGGGACCAGAGGGUCGGGAGUUCAAAUCUCUCCACUCCGACCA